UACAGAGGCCUCGAGCGUUAGGCGGAAUCACUGGGCUUAAAGCGUGUGUAGGCGGACUUCUAAGUACCUUGUGAAAUCCCACAGCUUAACUGUGGAACUGCUUGGUAUACUGGUUGUCUUGAGGUACCUAGGGGCGAGCGGAACAAGUGGUGGAGCGGUGAAAUGCGUAGAUAUCACUUGGAACGCCAACGGUGAAAACAGCUCGCUGGGGGGUAUCCUGGACGCUGAGACGACGAAAGCCAGGGGAAGCAAAGCGGGG
rnacentral:rRNA from 1 species